CACGCGAGGAUCAUAUUUUAUAUGUAUGUACGGUAAAAGGGACGGAAAAAGGUGGAAAGCGAAACGAUUAUAAUUGAAAGAAAUACGACAGUGAGUGGACAGAGCGUUUCACCAAUUUCUUUAUAUGUCCUUGCAUACGUGUACGUGCAAUAUACGUGUUCGUGAAUGGGCGUGUAUUUUGCAACUGAACGAACGCCGGGAAAUAGAGUAAGGGAACUGUGUCUGUCCAUGGUCACGCUUCGUGGAUGCAGUCAUUCACGCGGCCAAUCGUCGCAA
rnacentral:misc_RNA from 1 species